UACGGGGGGAGCAAGCGUUGUUCGGAUUUACUGGGCGUAAAGGGCGCGUAGGCGGUCACGACAAGUCAGUUGUGAAAUCUCCGGGCUUAACUCGGAACGGUCAACUGAUACUGUCGGACUAGAGUGCAGAAGGGGCAACUGGAAUUCUCGGUGUAGCGGUGAAAUGCGUAGAUAUCGAGAGGAACACCGGUGGCGAAGGCGGUUCUCUGGGCAUUACCUGACGCUGAGGAGCGAAAGCAUGGGGAGCGAACAGG
rnacentral:rRNA from 1 species